GAUGAACGCUGGCGGCGUGCCUAAUACAUGCAAGUCGAGCGAACAGACGAGGAGCUUGCUCCUCUGACGUUAGCGGCGGACGGGUGAGUAACACGUGGAUAACCUACCUAUAAGUCUGGGAUAACUUCGGGAAACCGGAGCUAAUACCGGAUAAUAUAUUGAACCGCAUGGUUCAAUAGUGAAAGACGGUUUUGCUGUCACUUAUAGAUGGAUCCGCGCGGCAUUAGCUAGUUGGUAGGGUAACGGCUUACCAAGGCAACCAUGCCUAGCCGACCUGAGGGGGUGAACGGCCACACUGGAACUGAGAGACGGUCCAGAGUCCGACGGGAGGCAGCAGUAGGGAAUGGUCCGCAAUGGGCGAAAGCUUGACGGAGCAACGCCGCGUGAGUGAUGAAGGUCUUCGGAUCGUAAAACUCUGUUAUUGGGGAAGAACAAAUGUGUAAGUAACUAUGCACGUCUGGACGGUACCUAAUCAGAAGGCCAGGGCUAACUACGU
rnacentral:rRNA from 1 species